rfam:Picea glauca, whole genome shotgun sequence.
ACAUGCCCACAACAUAGUUUUAAUGCAUUGGAUCCCAUUAGAACUCUGUAGUUAAGCACGCUCAGGCUAGAGUAGUACUGGAAUGGGUGACUGUCUGGGAAGUCCUAGUGUUUUACAUGCC